AGAGUUUGAUCAUGGCUCAGAACGAACGCUGGCGGCGUGCCUAACACAUGCAAGUCGAACGAGAAGUACGUAGCAAUACGUAUUGUAAAGUGGCGCACGGGUGAGUAACACGUGGGUAAUCUGCCCUUGAGUUUGGGAUAACCCCGCGAAAGCGGGGCCAAUACCGAAUAAGACCACGGGGACCAAAGUCCCUGAGGUAAAAGAUGGCCUCUAUUUAUAAGCUAUCACUUGAGGAUGAGCCCGCGGCCCAUUAGCUAGUUGGUAGGGUAACGGCCUACCAAGGCUAUGAUGGGUAGCUGGUCUGAGAGGACGAUCAGCCACACUGGAACUGAGACACGGUCCAGACUCCUACGGGAGGCAGCAGUGGGGAAUAUUGCGCAAUGGGCGAAAGCCUGACGCAGCAACGCCGCGUGGGGGAUGAAGGUUCUCGGAUUGUAAACCCCUUUCGACCGGAACGAAUCCCCUCUUGGUAAAUAAUCAGGAGGAUCGACGGUACCGGGAGAAGAAGCCACGGCUAACUCUGUGCCAGCAGCCGCGGUAAGACAGAGGUGGCUAGCGUUGUUCGGAUUUAUUGGGCGUAAAGCGUACGCAGGCGGUUUGGUAAGUCAGAGGUGAAAGCCCACAGCUUAACUGUGGCACUGCCUUUGAUACUGCCUUUUCUUGAGUAGAAGGGGGAAGCGGAAUUCCGAGUGUAGAGGUGAAAUUCGUAGAUAUUCGGAGGAACACCGGUGGCGAAGGCGGCUUCCUGGACUCUAACUGACGCUCAUGUACGAAAGCGUGGGUAGCAAACAGGAUUAGAUACCCUAGUAGUCC
rnacentral:rRNA from 1 species